rnacentral:ncRNA from 1 species
UUUAGUCAAAAAGCUAAAAUUUAGUUAAAAGACGAGAAGACCCUAUAAAUCUUUAUAGUUUUAUAAUAUUAAUUUUAUAGAUUAUUUUUAUUAUUAUUAGAAAAAUUAUUUUAUUGGGGUGAUAUUAAAAUUUAAAAAACUUUUAAUUUUAUUAAUCAUUAAUUUAUGAAUAAAUGAUCCUAUAUUAUGGAUUAAUAGAAUAAGUUACUUUAGGGAUAACAGCGUAAUUUUUUUGGAGAGUUCAUAUCGAUAAAAAAGAUUGCGACCUCGAUGUUGGAUUAAGAUAUAAUUUUAGGUGCAGAAGCUUAAAUUUUGAGUCUGUUCGACUUUUAAAUUCUUACAUGAUCUGAGUUCAAACCGGCGUAAGCCAGGUUGGUUUCUAUCUUUAAUAAA